rnacentral:rRNA from 1 species
UACAGAGGCCCCAAGCGUUACUGAGAAUCACUGGGUUUAAAGGGUGCGUAGGUGGUCCGUUAAGUUCGUUGUGAAAGCCCUGGGCUCAACCCAGGAACUGCUUCGAAUACUGGCGGACUUGAGGCUAGUAUGGGUCACUGGAACUGACGGUGGAGCGGUGAAAUGCGUAGAUAUCGUCAGGAACGCCAAUGGUGAAGACAGGUGACUGGGCUAGAUCUGACACUAAGGCACGAAAGCGUGGGGAGCGAACGGG